AUUGCUUCUCGGCCUUUUGGCUAAGAUCAAGUGUAACAUUCCUUCCUCAGUUCAUUUCUGUCUUAUAUUUUACUAUGUGGUCAUCCCUUGGUAUCCACAAGGAAUUGGUUUCAGGAAAAGGAUACCAAAAUCUAC
rnacentral:snRNA from 1 species